UGAACCGAGUGUGUCAGCCACCGGGGAUUGCUGUGCGAUUUUCAGCUUUCUCAGAGUUUGAGUCCCAAACUUUAUCAUGUAUGGGAGCUAUUGACAUAGCUGGUGAAAUUCAAGUGUAGGUGGGUCUCAUCCAGUCAGUGGAAGGCCUUAAGAGACCAAGGCUCCCCAAGAAGGAAGGAAUUCUUCUUCCAGGCUGUCCUUGACUCAAGACUGCACCAUCAGCCCUUGCCUGAUUUUCCAGUCUGCCAGCUGCCCAGCCCUCACAAUCAUGUGAGCCAAUCCCUUAAAAUACAUCUCUCUCUCUCUCCCCAUCCUAUUCAUAUAUAGAUCCUAUAUAUAGGUAGAGAUAUAUACAUCCUAUUCAUCCUCUUCUUCUGAAGAACCCUGACUAAUUCACUGUAAAAAUUCUCAGACUAGAAGUCUGUCUACUCCACUGCCUGUCCCUGAAGGUUGGUCCAGGUCUUACUUUCGAGCUGCAGUGAAGCAUGGGUGUGCCUCCUGGGAUGCCAGGUCUGCAUGAGGGAAGCACUUCCUACAUGAUGAGACACAGUAGAAUCUGCCCAGGAGAAGGGCCCUGGAGCUGGUCCCUAAGCGCUCCUGGCAGGAAGGUCUUCCUCCGUGUCGGGAAAUGGGUCAUCAGCCGCUGUAGCCGGUUAGACUCCUGAAGGCUAGAGAGCCCUCCCACUUCUCCAGGCUCGGUCAGACCCACCACAGCCCUCAGUGUCACGUCCCUGGGGGAGAGUCAGAGGGCAGGUGACAAAUGCAGAGGGAUGGACGGCAGGUGUCGGGGGAGGGGAAGCGGGGUUCGUGGUUCUGGUAGCUGCAACCCAGGGAAAAUCCUCUGAGCCUAGUGUACGGAGUUCUAAGAAAGUGAUCUGCAGAGAAAAAUGGGGUUUCCUUCCUUCCUCUGAGCUUUUCUACUCUCAGAUCAGAGCCCUUUCAAGUGAGCUAGCUUUCCAGCAGGUCCCUGGGACCCACCAGCAGUGGCCUCUUUGCAUCGAGAACUAGGUCGUGUCCACCUUGACUAGGCGGGAGCCGGAUGCGCUUGGCCUGUCACUGCAGCUCCCGCAGGAGGUCCAGGCAGCGGGCGUCGGGACCGGCGUGGGGUCGAGGCCUAGGCUCGGAGCCCUGUGGGCUCACGGACCCCGACCCUCCAUCCCGCCAUCACGUGCAAUGGGCACCGCGUCCUCCCGCCCCGCCCCCUCCCACACCUGGGAAGCCUCGCAGGUGCCCAGCGCGGCAGGUCUCUCCGCCAUUGCCUGGUGCCGGCAUUCUGCCACGUCUCUGGCUGCCCCCAGGAGAUGUCUCCGGCUACUUGGACGCCCCAGUACAAUGCUGCCUCUGUUGCUUUCUCCCCCUCCUCCUCUUCCUUCUCCUCUUCCUCCUUCUUCUUCACCUUCUGGAGCUCAAACAGAUGUUCUCUUCUGAGGGUAAGGACCGCAGAGCCAGUCCUUAAUUUGGAAACCGUUCUGUCUCCAGAAUAAUCUUAUAAUCGGGGUUUUGGGGGGAUAUAAAGUGAGGUCCCCCUAUUCAUGCAUUAGGAAUAAAAUGUUCUCUAUCCCUUCCUCCAUUUCACAUUUGAUAAACUGAUGUGCUUGUGACACAGAG